rnacentral:misc_RNA from 1 species
GAUGAAGAACGCAGCGAAAUGCGAUAAGUAAUGUGAAUUGCAAAAUUCAGUGAAUCAUCGAAUCUUUGAACGCACAUUGCGCCCGCCAGUAUUCUGGCGAGCAUGCCUGUUCGAGCGUCAUUUCAACCAUCAAGCCCCAGGCUUGUGUUGGAGCCCUGCGGCUGCCGCAGCCUCCCAAAACCAGUGGCGGGCUCGCUAUCACACCGAGUGCAGUAGUUUACUCUUCGCUCAGGGCGUGUGGCGGGUGCUAGCCGUGAAACCCCCAACUUCUCAAGGUUGACCUCGGAUCAGGUAGGAAUACCCGCUGAACUUAAGCAUAUCAAUAAGCGGAGGA